GCCUCUACAAGUGUGACAUCAGCGGUCAUGGAGAGUCUCCAUCCAGCUGGAUCACUGUCACAGGUAAACCUACAACUACAGUGAUGCCAUUCACCUCAGGCCCAACCCCAUCCCCUAAUCUCCCCUUCCUCCAAAUUGCAUUCAGAGUGGUCCUCCACCUGGUUGUCUUCUGUCCUUACUUCAUAUGCACUCUCCUUGUGGUGUCUUUAUUUCGCCACAGAGCCAAAGGAAAUGACCUUUGUGCAUCAAACCUGGCCACUCAACCUGAGCAGGGAUAGGAUGAUGAGUAUGAUGAUGUCAUCACUGAUGUCACUACAGAGCAUCACUUCUGAAUCAGAGCUCCGUUGAGUCUCUAUUGCCUCAGUUAUGCUUCUGUGGGAAAUCUAUGCUGUAAAUAUCCACAUAACCUGAUGUGCACCUCUUGAGAAAUGCAACUACACACACAGCCUGCAAUGACUUGAAUAGCGUGGAAGAUUGUGUUAUGGGGAUAAUGGGAGUUUCCAGUGACUAGGACGUCAAGUUCCCGCAGACUUUUAUAUCAAGUUUAACUUUGUCAGCCUGUCACCUCUUUUGUGGAGAUGAUUUGAAUAAAUGGACUCUGAUGUUCAUCUAUAGCUGCUUUUAUAUAGAUAAAGUAUUCCUGCUCUGAUAAACUACAAACAUAUAAAUAUGUGAGUUAAACUAGACAUCUCAUGCAUUUCUUGGUUUUGAUUCUGGUUCUUUAAUCAGCACAAAUCCCACAGAGCUUGAAAAGACAAAGUGGAAUUUGAAAGGUAUUUGAUUCACAUGUACAGUCUGCUUCCACCUGCUGGUAAUACUGGUGUAUUACAGCAGAGCUGCAGCUUUUCAGUGUUUCUGCACUUGUUUUAAAUCCUGAACCUCUCCUGGUACUAAAGAGCUGAUCUGCUUCAAACUGCUGUUUCGUUUCUUGUAGAAUAAAUUAUUUUUUUCUUUCUAA